UAUGCUAUACAGUACCCGCAAUAAAUUACAGAUGACAGUUCACAAUUUCACUGGAAGUUGUCAUUGUAAAAUUCUUGCAAACUAUAAUAGGGUCUGCUCGCGAGAAGUUUUUUUGUGUAUUUUCUAAAGCUGUCAAUACUAUCGUGGAUAUUUUUAAAAUGAGACGAGUUGGGAAUUGGUUGACAUCUCCUGAGGAAGACGACUUGUUUGGUGAAACGCGCUUCGGGGAGACUGUUGCAGUUUUGGCGUUUGAGAACAGUUCAAAUCGACAAAUUUUUACGAACACCCAAUGAGGCACAAGGCAAAUACGAAAUACCAUGUUUAACCUGCAUCAGAACUUACAUCGACCUUACCAACAAAAGCUUCAACAGAGCUAGCUGCCUAUAAGUUAAGAUUCGGUCUCAGUCUUUUCAAACACAAUCGUGAAACAAGCCACACAAUAAGCUUUGACAACACGAAAACCAUCGCCAUGCCACCGAAAACUCUCCAGGCCACUUCAUUCCGAGCUUCUAAAAUAUGGGCUAUCUCAUAUUUUAGAAGCUAUAAAUAAUAAUAAAUAAAUAAAUAAGUGUAAGAACACUUGUUUCAACAUUGGUAAACAUUAUUUAUAAAAUACGACCAUUUAGAAUAUGUAUAUAUAAGGGUUAGUUAUCUGAAUCGAUAAUUAAAAUUUAGUAAAAAAUA